AUACGAAGGGUGCAAGCGUUACUCGGAAUUACUGGGCGUAAAGCGUGCGUAGGUGGUUGUUUAAGUCUGUCGUGAAAGCCCUGGGCUCAACCUGGGAAUGGCGAUGGAAACUGGGCGACUAGAGUGUGGCAGAGGGUAGUGGAAUUCCUGGUGUAGCAGGGAAAUGCGUAGAGAUCAGGAGGAACAUCCGUGGCGAAGGCGACUGCCUGGGCCAACACUGACACUGAGGCACGAAAGCGUGGGGAGCAAACAGGAUUAGAUACCCUGGUAGUCCACGCCCUAAACGAUGCGAACUGGAUGUUGGGUGCAAUUUGGCACGCAGUAUCGAAGCUAACGCGUUAAGUUCGCCGCCUGGGGAGUACGGUCGCAAGACUGAAACUCAAAUGAAUUGGCGGGG
rnacentral:rRNA from 1 species